GAUGAAGAACGCAGCGAAAUGCGAUAAGUAGUGUGAAUUGCAGAAUUCAGUGAAUCAUCGAAUCUUUGAACGCACAUUGCGCCCCUCGGUAUUCCGAGGGGCAUGCCUGUUCGAGCGUCAUUAUCACCCCUCAAGCUCAGCUUGGUGUUGGGGCCGGCCCGUCACAGGGCCGCCCCUAAAAGCAGUGGCGGUGCCAUCUGGCUCUACGCGUAGUAAUACUCCUCGCGACAGAGUCCCGGUGGUGUCCUGCCAGAACCCCCCAUCUUUUUAAUGAUUGACCUCGGAUCAGGUAGGGAUACCCGCUGAACUUAAGCAUAUCAAUAAGCGGAGGA
rnacentral:misc_RNA from 1 species